UACGUAGGUGGCAAGCGUUGUUCGGAAUUAUUGGGCGUAAAGGGCGCGUAGGCGGUUUGUUAAGUCGGUUGUGAAAGCCCGGGGCUCAACCCCGGAGGGUCGACCGAUACUGGCAGGCUAGAGUACAGAAGAGGUAGCUGGAAUUCCCGGUGUAGCGGUGAAAUGCGCAGAUAUCAGGAGGAACACCGGUGGCGAAGGCGGGUCUCUGGGCCGAUACUGACGCUGAGGAGCGAAAGCGUGGGGAGCGAACAGG
rnacentral:rRNA from 1 species